rnacentral:rRNA from 1 species
UACGGGGGGGGCAAGCGUUGUUCGGAUUUACUGGGCGUAAAGGGCGCGUAGGCGGCGCGACAAGUCACUUGUGAAAUCUCCGGGCUUAACCCGGAGCGGCCAAGUGAUACUGUCGUGCUGGAGUGCGGAAGGGGCCACCGGAAUUCUCGGUGUAGCGGUGAAAUGCGUAGAUAUCGAGAGGAACACCUGCGGCGAAGGCGGGUGGCUGGGCCGACACUGACGCUGAGGCGCGAAAGCCAGGGGAGCGAACGGG